rnacentral:tRNA from 1 species
CGUUAGCUCAGUAGGUAGAGCACCUGCCUUUUAAGCAGGGUGUCCGGGGUUCGAAUCCCC